AUUAUGUAAAAUGACUCUCGGCAACGGAUAUCUCGGCUCUUGCAUCGAUGAAGAACGUAGCGAAAUGCGAUACUUGGUGUGAAUUGCAGAAUCCCGUGAACCAUCGAGUCUUUGAACGCAAGUUGCGCCCAAAGCCAUUAGGUUGAGGGCACGCCUGCCUGGGUGUCACNC
rnacentral:rRNA from 1 species